rnacentral:rRNA from 1 species
AGGGAAUAUUGGACAAUGGGCGAAAGCCUGAUCCAGCCAUGCCGCGUGAGUGAUGAAGGCCCUAGGGUUGUAAAGCUCUUUCACCGGUGAAGAUAAUGACGGUAGCCGGAGAAGAAGCCCCGGCUAACUUCGUGCCAGCAGCCGCGGUAAUACGAAGGGGGCUAGCGUUGUUCGGAAUUACUGGGCGUAAAGCGCACGUAGGCGGACUGGUCAGUUAGGGGUGAAAUCCCGGGGCUCAACCCCGGAACUGCCUUUAAUACUGCCAGUCUAGAGUCCGGAAGAGGUGAGUGGAAUUCCGAGUGUAGAGGUGAAAUUCGUAGAUAUUCGGAGGAACACCAGUGGCGAAGGCGGCUCACUGGUCCGGUACUGACGCUGAGGUGCGAAAGCGUGGGGAGCAAAC